rnacentral:rRNA from 1 species
UACGGAGGGUGCGAGCGUUGUCCGGAAUCAUUGGGCGUAAAGGGCGCGUAGGUGGCGGGACAAGCGUGCGGUGAAAGCUCGGGGCUCAACCCCGCGUCGGCCGUGCGAACUGUUUUGCUUGAGCACUGUAGAGGCAGGCGGAAUUCCGGGUGUAGCGGUGGAAUGCGUAGAGAUCCGGAAGAACACCGGUGGCGAAGGCGGCCUGCUGGGCUAUGGCUGACACUGAGGCGCGACAGCGUGGGGAGCAAACAGG